rnacentral:rRNA from 1 species
UAGUGAUCCGGUGGUUCUGUAUGGAAGGGCCAUCGCUCAACGGAUAAAAGGUACUCCGGGGAUAACAGGCUGAUGAUGCCCAAGAGUCCAUAUCGACGGCAUCGUUUGGCACCUCGAUGUCGGCUCAUCACAUCCUGGGGCUGAAGCCGGUCCCAAGGGUAUGGCUGUUCGCCAUUUAAAGUGGUACGCGAGCUGGGUUUAGAACGUCGUGAGACAGUUCGGUCCCUAUCUGGUGUGGGCGUUGGAUGAUUGAUGGGAGCUGCUCCUAGUACGAGAG